rnacentral:rRNA from 1 species
AUUGAACGCUGGCGGAAUGCUUUACACAUGCAAGUCGAGCGGCAGCGCGGGGCAACCUGGCGGCGAGCGGCGAACGGGUGAGUAAUGCAUCGGAACAUGUCCAUGUCGUGGGGGAUAGCCCGGCGAAAGCCGGAUUAAUACCGCAUACGCCCGAGAGGGGAAGGUGGGGACCGCAAGGCCUCACGCGAUUGGGUUGGCCGAUGUCCGAUUAGCUAGUUGGCGGGGUAAGGCCCACCAAGGCGAUGAUCGGUAGCUGGUCUGAGAGGAUGAUCAGCCACACUGGGACUGAGACACGGCCCAGACUCCUACGGGAGGCAGCAGUGGGGAAUUUUGGACAAUGGGGGCAACCCUGAUCCAGCCAUUCCGCGUGAGUGAAGAAGG